CGGGAAACUGAGGCCAAUCCCGGAUACUACUUUCAUGUUGGAACACAGAAAGUCGGAAACGGUCCGCCGCCGGAGGACGUGACUGCGGCCGAUUAGGUAGACGGUGGGGUAACGGCCCACCGUGCCGAUAAUCGGUACGGGUUGUGAGAGCAAGAACCCGGAGACGGUAUCUGAGACAAGAUACCGGGCCCUACGGGGCGCAGCAGGCGCGAAACCUUUACACUGCACGCCAGUGCGAUAAGGGGACCCCGAGUGCGAGGGCAUACAGUCCUCGCUUUUCGUGACCGUAAGGUGGUCACAGAAUAAGAGCUGGGCAAGACCGGUGCCAGCCGCCGCGGUAAUACCGGCAGCUCGAGUGAUAGCCACUAUUAUUGGGCCUAAAGCGUCCGUAGCCGGCCGAACAGGUCCGUCGGGAAAUCCACCCGCUCAACGGGUGGACGUCCGGCGGAAACCAGUCGGCUUGGGGCCGGGAGACCAGAGAGGUACGUCCGGGGUAGGAGUGAAAUCCUGUAAUCCUGGACGGACCGCCGGUAGCGAAAGCGUCUCUGGAGAACGGACCCGACGGUGAGGGACGAAAGCUUGGGUCUCGAACCGGAUUAGAUACCCGGGU
rnacentral:rRNA from 1 species